CCUACGUGAGGCAGCAGUGAGGAAUAUUGGUCAAUGGGCGCGAGCCUGAACCAGCCAAGUAGCGUGAAGGAUGACUGCCCUACGGGUUGUAAACUUCUUUUAUAAAGGAAUAAAGUGAGGCACGUGUGCCUUUUUGUAUGUACUUUAUGAAUAAGGAUCGGCGAACUCCGUGCCAGCAGCCGCGGUAAUACGGAGUAUCCGAGAGUGAUCCGGAUUUAUUGGGUUUAAAGGGAGCGUAGAUGGGUUGUUAAGUCAGUUGUGAAAGUGUGCGGCUCAACCGUAAAAUUGCAAUGGAUACUGGCAGCCUUGAGUACAGUUGAGGUAGGCGGAAUUCGUGGUGUAGCGGUGAAAUGCUUAGAUAUCACGAAGAACUCCGAUUGCGAAGGCAGCUUACUAAACUGCCACUGACAUUGAUGCUCGAAAGUGUGGGUAUCAAACAGGAUUAGAUACCCCAGUAGUC
rnacentral:rRNA from 1 species